CUGCCUGCCUGCCUGCCUGCCUGCCUGCCUGCCUGCCUGCCGUCAAGGCGAACCCACGCGCGGGUGGAAGAGGCGCCGCAGCGCCCCGCGGCUCUGCUUGGCUUGUCCAGGAGGUGGUAGUGAUGCUGCACAAGACGUCUGCAUCGCCAGCCGUGUUUAGCUGGGAAACGACUCGGCUGCAGCUUUCCCUGCUAAAGAAGGAAAGUGUUCAUUUGGGAGGGAUGUCUCAUUUCAAUGUGCAGAUUUAGGCUACAGUCUUCCAUGGCCAGUGAACCAAGAUGUUUUCCUGCUGGAACGUAAUGCACUGAUCAAAACUGGGAUGCCCUGACUCAUGAACAAGCACAGGAUGAGGGACAGAGAUGUGAUGCACACGCAAGGAGAACAAGCGUGGCUCCUCUCUAGGUGCUUCACAAGGCUCCCACCAUGCCGACUUCCCUCUGAUCCAUGACCACAGCGCCGUGCGUCAGAUGUCACCCCGGAGCAGCAGAACUCUUUCCCAGGAGAUAAGCAAAACUUGCCAUUCAGAUCAGAAGGCUGGGACAGCUCAAGGUCAAUUUGCACCCGCAUCUAGAACAAAUCACAGAGCUGCACUGAGGCAAAGCAAUGUUUGGGAUCACAAACCUGUGACUGUUCUACCCGUACUUCUUGAGUUCCUUGGAGUACUGAGGAUGCUGCUGAAUUGCCAGAAUCAUGGCUCUCAAGAUUGA
ensembl:lncRNA